ensembl:lncRNA
GGCGUUGCGGGGCGGCGGGCGAUCUCGACGUGGCAGCCGGAGGGAGGGAGCCGUGACCUUCCUGCCCAGCGAGCGGCGGGGCUGCUUCCCCCCGUCGUGAGCCGCCUUUAAUUCGCUUCGUCUGCGCCACCUCUCGGGUGUCGCGGAUAACCUUCCUGGGCCUGUCAGGCCAGAGAAGGCCCCAGGGGCCUACAGCUCCCGAGGUUGAGUCACCAGCCCCGGGGGAGCACCCCUGGCUCAGAGCUCAGCAUAUCCCAUGUGCUGUGUGCACAUCAGCACGUAAGGACAGGUCCCAGUGGCGAAUGGAGAGCGCCAAAGCAGCCACGGCGCAACCUCAGCGCCAUGGAGAUCGGCUGCCCAGAGAGGUUGUGGAGUCUCCUUCUCUGGAGACACUCAAGACCCACCUGGGCACCUACCUGUGCAACGUGGUCUAGGGAGCCUGCUUUGCAGGAGGGUUGGACUAGAUGAUCUCUACAGGUCCCGUCCAGCCCUUCAGUUGUGUGUUUCUGUGAUUCUAUGGGACGGGCAGGUGGAUGCUGCUUCAUAUCAGGCUUGCACUGCAGCCUUCCAAUAGGCCUUCUCUAGUGCAGAAAACGUUUUCAAAGAUGUCACCAAAAAAUUGAUGUUGUUUUGAAAAAUUCCAGCAAGGUAAUAUGACAACACAGAAGAUUUCAAAGAGCCAUAUUUCCUAAGAGCUCAACGCCCAUAACUGGCUUAAUAGAUGGAAUUAAAUGUUGAGCUUUAUGAUUUGUCUGAAGGUGAAAGAGACCUGUAAGAAGCAUUGACUCCAGCUUCUGGCUCCACACAGGACCACCAAAAAUCAGACCGUCAUUCAGUGAACGAUUUCAGUAAGGCUGGGGACAGUUUCAGUUUCCUUACUGCAGCACCUCAGAAAAGAUUUCUUUCCCAUCUAAGUAAGGAUCUGGUAUGCUGGAGUCCUGUUCAUGAUGCACUGUGGGACAUCAUUGCAUUGUUGCUUUUUUUAACUAUUUUAAAA